CUGACAAGUGGUAUAUAUCUAUAAAUGGGCAAUGACACUGACCUGAAGUAAAUCCCUACAAUCAUUGCUGCUCGUGGUAUACUCUCUAAUAUCUGUCGGCAGAAAGAAGGGUACUACAUAGACUUCUGGGAUGCUGAGUUUGGACAUUACCCAUUUCUCCAAUGCCCUGUGACCUCUGCGACUGCCACUGCAGAUCAUGGUAUACAGAGAAGCAGUGCCUCAGAGUUUCCUGAUGGCGGCAAGAACAGGAAGCAAAAAUGCUGAUACCAGGAUAUAGAAAAGCUGUUUUUACUGCAUUUUGACCUGGCUGAAAUCAGAUUCCUUAUCAAGGAAGCAUCGCGGUGUUCUAAUUUGGAGUUUCUGGAAGGCACUCCAAGCCCCUUCAGCAAGGUGAAAUCAAAGCUGUGUGAAACAGACUGAUACAGCGACGAAGUCACAAAAACUAUGGAAACAAGAAGGGUGGUGUGAGGGUUUUUUUGCAUUGUUUUGCUUUUUUGCAAUGGAAGCCCCAUUAUCUGCUUACAAUAACUAGUGCAAGACAGAAUGCUUUCUGCUUUGUUUGGAGGAGGAGUCUGUAUAUUCCCCAUAGAUCGUAGGUCCCAGGACCCUUUGGGGGAGCAUGGUUGGGGGUAGGGCCUUUGACCCUGGCUGGGGCUCCACUCCUGCUCCUGCCCCUGCCCCAACUGUGGCCCCAGCCU